rnacentral:RNase_MRP_RNA from 1 species
AGAUAUUUAUAUUAUUAAUAGGAAAGUCAUAAAUAUAUAAAUUAUAUUAUAUAAUUAAUAUAAUAAUAAAAUAAAUUAUAUAUUUUAUUUAUAAUAUUAUUUCUUUAUAAGAUAAAUAUUAUCUAAUUAAUAAUUAGAUUGAAUAAUAUUUAUAAAGAAAUAUAUAUAUAUAAAAAAAGUCAUUAUAUAAAUUUAAUUAUAAUUUAAAUAAAUUUUAUAUAAAUUAAUAUAAUAUUAAUAAAGUAAUUAGUAUAAAUAAAUAAUAUGAAAAUAAAACUUAAUAAAUAUAUAAAUAUAGUCCGGCCCGCCCCGCGGGGCGGACCCCGAAGGAGUCCAUAUAUAUAUAUUAAUAAAAAGUAAUAUAUAUAUAUAUAUUGGAAUAGUUAUAUUAUUAUACAGAAAUAUGCUUAAUUAUAAUAUAAUAUCCA